GGGGAGUGCUUGCUUGCAGAACCUAAAGACAGGUGCUGCACGGCUGUCGUCAGCUCGUGUCGUGAGAUGUUGGGUUAAGUCCCGCAACGAGCGCAACCCCCGUCAUUAGUUGCUAACGGGUUAUGCCGAGAACUCUAAUGAGACUGCCUUCGUAAGGAGGAGGAAGUGGGGACGACGUCAAGUCAUCAUGGCCCUUAUGCCUGGGGCGACACACGUGCUACAAUGGUAUGUACAGAGAGACGCAAUACGGCGACGUGGAGCAAAUCUCUAAAACAUAUCUCAGUUCGGAUUGUAGUCUGCAACUCGACUACAUGAAGCUGGAAUCGCUAGUAAUCGCGGAUCAGCCAUGCCGCGGUGAAUACGUUCCCGGGUCUU
rnacentral:rRNA from 1 species